rnacentral:rRNA from 1 species
CAUGCCUCAGUACGGCGAGUGAAGCGGCACAGCUCAAAUUUGAAAUCUGGCCCUAGGCCCGAGUUGUAAUUUGUAGAGGAUGCUUUUGGUGCGGUGCCUUCCAAGUUCCCUAGAACGGGACGCCAGAGAGGGUGAGAGCCCCGUACAGUUGGACACCAAGCCUUUGUAAAGCUCCUUCGACGAGUCGAGUAGUUUGGGAAUGCUGCUCAAAAUGGGAGGUAUAUUUCUUCUAAAGCUAAAUACCGGCCAGAGACCGAUAGCGCACAAGUAGAGUGAUCGAAAGAUGAAAAGCACUUUGAAAAGAGGGUUAAACAGCACGUGAAAUUGUUAAAAGGGAAGCGCUUGUGACCAGACUUGCGUCCGGUGAAUCACCCAGCUCUCGCGGCUGGGGCACUUCGCCGGCUCAGGCCAGCAUCAGCUCGCUGUCGGGGACAAAAGCUUCAGGAACGUAGCUCUCUUCGGGGAGUGUUAUAGCCUGUUGCAUAAUACCCUUCGGCGGGCUGAGGUACGCGCUCCGCAAGGAUGCUGGCAUAAUGGUCAUCAGCGACCCGUCUUGAAC